UCCCCGGUCGUUCAAUGGUAGGACAGCAGGCUCUGAACCUGUCAAUGGAGGUUCAAAUCCUCCCCGGGGAUCCA
rnacentral:tRNA from 1 species